rnacentral:misc_RNA from 1 species
GACAGAGGUGGCAAGCGUUGUUCGGAUUCAUUGGGUGUAAAGGGCAGGUAGGUGGCCUAGCAAGUCCGGUGUGAAAUCCCAGAGCUCAACUCUGGAACUGCAUCGGAAACUGCUUGGCUUGAGUACCGCAGAGGUGAGGGGAAUUCCCGGUGUAAGGGUGAAAUCUGUAGAUAUCGGGAGGAACACCAGUGGCGAAGGCGCCUCACUGGGCGGUUACUGACACUGAGCUGCGAAAGCUAGGGGAGCAAACGGG